rnacentral:snoRNA from 1 species
ACCCAAUGUCUUUUGUCAGGACACCUUCCAUUCUUUUCUCACGAAGGUUGUCUGUUACAGCGUUGGAAUAUCAAUCAUACCGUACUCGUCUGUCAUUAACCUUAGUUGGUGGCUUGAUGUGUGCCGUUCUGGCACUAUCUUGAGUUGGUCUUUGUGUCCAAUGAGUUGAAAUCUCCAUAUUCCUUAGCGGGAACAAAUUAGAGACUUCUUAGUGAUGACACAUACAUUU